rnacentral:rRNA from 1 species
AUACGGAGGGUGCAAGCGUUACUCGGAAUCACUGGGCGUAAAGCGCGCGCAGGCGGCUAUUUAAGUUGGAUGUGAAAGCCUACGGCUCAACCGUAGAACUGCAUCCAAAACUAUUUAGCUAGAGUGUGGGAGAGAAGAUGGAAUUAGUUGUGUAGGGGUAAAAUCCGUAGAGAUAACUAGGAAUACCAAAAGCGAAGGCAAUCUUCUGGAACACUACUGACGCUGAGGCGCGAAAGCGUGGGGAGCAAACGGGAUUAGAAACCCUUGUAGUCC